rnacentral:misc_RNA from 1 species
UUUCCGUAGGUGAACCUGCGGAAGGAUCAUUAUUGUAUAACCGAGGUGCGCGGGCUGUCGCUGACCCGAAAGGUCGUGCACGCCCGAGUGCCCUCAAACACAUCCAUCUCACCCCUAUGUGCACCACCGCGUGGGUCCCCCUUUGGCUUGUUCGGUGGGGGGCUUACGUUUUCACACAAACUUUGUAUGCAGUGUAGAAUGUAUUUUUUGUUUUUGCGAUCACGCAAUCAAUACAACUUUCAACAACGGAUCUCUUGGCUCUC